GAUGAAGAACGUAGCGAAAUGCGAUAAGUAAUGUGAAUUGCAGAAUUCAGUGAAUCAUCGAAUCUUUGAACGCACAUUGCGCCCGCCAGUAUUCUGGCGGGCAUGCCUGUUCGAGCGUCAUUUCGACCAUCAAGCCCCAGGCUUGUGUUGGGGACCUGCGGCUGCCGCAGGCCCUGAAAACCAGUGGCGGGCUCGCUGUCACACCGGGCGUAGUAGAUUUUAUCUCGCUCAGGGCGUGCUGCGGGUUCCGGCCGUUAAAAAGCCUUUUUUACCCAAGGUUGACCUCGGAUCAGGUAGGAAGACCCGCUGAACUUAAGCAUAUCAAUAAGCGGAGGA
rnacentral:misc_RNA from 1 species